rnacentral:tRNA from 1 species
UGGAUGGUGGCUUACUGGUAGAGCACCUGUUUCAAAUUCAGAAGGUCCUUGGUACGACCCACAGUAUCUUCCAUUUAA